GUCCAACGACAGGGGUGCCCGCCAGAGGCCGUCGCGGGCUGAGAUCACACCCUUUGAACCUGCUCCGGGUAAUUCCGGCGAAGGGAGUUUGUAUGAACGUCGUC
rnacentral:ncRNA from 2 species